AUGAAAGAAGAGCCUAUUAGUGGGAAAAAGUUGGAGGAUGAAGGAAUUGAAAAAGAAAAUUGGGCAAUAUUAGAGAAAAUUAGGAAGACUGAAAGGCAAGACCAUUUAAAUGUGCUGCAGUGUCUGGGUCAGUGCAAGCUUCAGAUAGACUUAUGGAAGAGCUCAGGGACAUAUACAGAUCACAGAGUUAUAAGACAGGUAUAUAUUGGGUGAAGGAGCAUUAUGUAUGGAACCUCUCACAAAACAGGGCUGAAGCAGUGCCUACUCCAUAGAAUCAGUCAUCAUGCAAAUAAAUGCCACCUGAGUCAAAGGCAAAGCCAAAGUGCAGCUUGGAGCAAAGAAGGUACUUCUAUUAAGAAUUUUACAUAAACCGUAAGAUACAUUUUAUAUUACUUUGUGAGCCUACUUCCUGUCUUAAUUCUUUCUGAGAGAAUUCAUUUCAUUUUCAUUUGGUUUGUUUUCUCUUUGUUACAAAGAUGAUCUAUAGAAAAUAUAGAAGUAUAAGAAAAUUAAAGACACUGACUAAUAAUCACUUAAUGAUUUAGUAUCUGAUUGUUUAGUCUUUGUUAUAUUUACUAUAGAUAAACAUGUCUACAGUUGUAAAUUUAUUAUUGGUAUGUAUACCCUAGUAAAAGUUAUAUGUACUUUGAAGUUUUGCAAAAUUGUGUUCAUGUUAUAGAA
rnacentral:lncRNA from 1 species